rnacentral:lncRNA from 1 species
GUGUUUGGGCUAAUAUAAUGUUGCCUAAUGAUUUUUUUUUGGUAGAAAAUGUUGGUUAAUGACGGUUACUGAUUGCAAGUUUUCUUUUUUUCUUUUUAUUAUAUUACACAAAUAGCACAAAAUAUACAUGGGUUUAAUUUUGAGUUGCUGCUAGCUAGGAGUUGAUACGAUACGAUGAUAACAUUCCCCCGUACGUGAUAGGUUCAGUCAGGUCAUGAAAGAUUCAGUUAAGGCCGUAACAUGCAUGCGUCAAGCUAGUCCGCAUAUUAAAUGAAGAGAGUAUGAAACACAGGUAAACUGAAGCGAACUGGGCAAACAUGUAACAAAACAUUGUGAUUUCC